UGAUUUAACUUCCUAUAGUCGAUAACA
rnacentral:sRNA from 1 species